rnacentral:ncRNA from 8 species
GCGGAUGUAGCCAAGUGGAUCAAGGCAGUGG